CCAUUGAACCCCUCUCCCAGAAGAAAUUUUGGAAAUCAAGAUGAUCCAUGAAAAUUUCAUAUCAAGCUACUCAUUACACUUUUUUUUCAAAUCAAAAUGAUUACAUAGUCCCCCUUUACGUUCUUUGGUACAUUGUAUCUAGACGUGGUAAUAAUGGGCAUUAGAUACCAUCUCAGAGGCACGCGCACUAUAUGUGGCCUAUGCCUUAUGCCAUGGCCGGCUAUAAAUUAAAGUGUAGUCAUAAUCCCAACACCAUAAAAGAAGGUUCAAACAUACGACAUUAUGUAUGUGUAUGAUCUCUAGAAAUAUCUUCCUUGUAUUCACCAAAAAAGAAAUGUCUUCCUGGUAUUUGCUAACGUUAUUCCUCGAAAUAUUGAUGGUGGUCACAAAUUUCACCACUCAAUGUCUUGCUGAUGAUGCUUACCGUAAUGAGCCUCCCAUUCCCAUUCACGAAAAUAUUAGUAGCCCAUCAUCAUCCCUUCCAGUCCCAGACUCUCCCACUCUUUCCCGAACGCCACCAUUCAAUAACGAUCACGUCAGAAGACCCUCACCCGCGCACCACGGCCAAAUCCCACCACCAACUCUACUUCCACACAGGCAUGUUCCGGAGCAGCAACCACCGUUUAAUUCUCGCCGCUACUCCCGAUACGCUCCGCUGCAGAAUUGAUGCUGAAUGCUCAGGCAUGCAUAGCUUCAUAUACCGACAACGUAACUUUUAUCAGAACCCAAAAGUGGUAUCAGAGCAAUUUUCAAAAUAGUGCAAAAUAUAUCAGAGCUUCUGUUUAUGGGAAUGGCAGGAAGUUCCACUACCUCAAUGUUCAGUUAUUCACAAGGAGCAACCCCCGUAUUUGAUGGAGAAUACUAUGAAUAUUGGAGCUAUCAAAUGCAGGAUGAUUUCUUAUUUGAAGAUUUAUGGGAUAUAAUUGAAGAUGAUUAUGAAGAGCCUCCAACACAGGGUAGUUCAACUUGGACACAAGACGAACAAAAAUUAUACAAAGAGAAUCGGAUGAAAAGUGCUUCACAAAUCCAUCUACCCUAGAAUUUUUGGAAUUAAAAAGAUUAACGAUGCAUGGGAAAUAUUACAAAAGAUUAAGUUACAAAAUCUAUGGAGAGAUUUUGAUAAUUUGUGAAUGAAAGACGAUGAAAAUAUCAAAGAAUUUUCUUCCCAGGUGGUUGAACUUGUAAACCAAAUUAAAAGUUUUGGAGAUAAACUUGAGGACAGAAAAAUUGUAGAAAAAAUUCUUAGAAGUCUUCCUGCAAAGUUUGAGUAUGUGGUUCCAGCAAUUGAGGAAUCAAAGAUCUGUCUAAAUUGACCUUGCAUGAGUUGAUGAGAUCACUUGAAGUACAUGAUGAGAAACCCCAAUUUUCACCAGCUUUUCCAACUUUCAUUUCUAUCUUAUUGCGUAAGCUUUCAUUCUCAUUCAUGCCCUCCAAGUUUAUUACAGGGAUAGAGAGCUAGGAAUCUCCAUUAGAAGACGUAUCUUCGAGUCUGAUCAUGAUGAAUAUACGUGGGAUUUUUUGAAGCCCAGCAUCCACAAGACCUUUCACACCAGUUUUUGAUUCAUCAACUGCCUUCAAUUCACUUAUUCUAUCGUACUAUGUUUGAGAUUCUUUGUAAAUCUCAGCUGACUUUGUAAGAUAAACCAUCUUUCUUUC